AGUGAACGCUGGCGGUAUGCCUAACACAUGCAAGUCGAACGGCAGCACGGUAAGAUCUUGCUCUUACGGGUGGCGACGGGCGGACGGGUGAGGAAUACAUCGGAAUCUACUUUUUCGGGGGGGAUAACGGAGGGAAACUUACGCUAAUACCGCAUACGACCUACGGGUGAAAGCAGGGGAGCUUCGGACCUUUCGCGAUUGAAUGAGCCGAUGUCGGAUUAGCUAGUUGGUGGGGUAAAGGCCCACCAAGGCGACGAUCCGUAGCUGGUCUGAGAGGAUGAUCAGCCACACUGGAACUGAGACACGGUCCAGACUCCUACGGGAGGCAGCAGUGGGGAAUAUUGGACAAUGGGCGCAAGCCUGAUCCAGCCAUACCGCGUGGGUGAAGAAGGCCUUCGGGUUGUAAAGCCCUUUUGUUGGGAAAGAACAGAAGCAGGUUAAUACGCCGCUGUUCUGACGGUACCCAAAGAAUAAGCACCGGCUAACUUCGUG
rnacentral:rRNA from 1 species